rnacentral:tRNA from 1 species
UGUGUGGUAGCUCAGUCGGGUUAGCGCCCGCUUUUCACGGAAGAGAUGCGGGUUCGAGUCCCGGCGCUGACAU